AUAAAAGCCAGGAUGUCACCCCAAAAGAGGAGAGCUCAAUAUGGCCAAAAGGGAGGUUGCCCAAAUUAGUCACUAGACACCCUGCUGGAACAGAAGAGACAAAAUUGUAGCAGAGAGAAAACAACACCUGCAUUGAAUCCAAGACACAAGGAUAGGAUGUGACUGAGUAAGACGUGGCUCACCUGAGAGACUGAGAGAACGCGGGACAGCAGGCGAAGGGGAAAAGUCGGGAUUGACUUGGAUUGUUAAGGAGUUGGCUCCUAGUGAACGCAGACAUCAUGUAUGAGUGCCUAGAAGCAAGGUCCCGAUAUCCCAGGAUAGGAAGUGAUGUUCCACAGCUGGAGAUGAUCACCCAUGUUCCAUCACACCAUUUAGAUCAACCCUCAGUGAAUUCCCAGAACUUCUCCAAAAGUUCAGAAUCAUUCAUUUCCUCUCUCCCUUUGCGAUGGAUACAUUUUACUCAGUAUAGAUAAAUUCUGAGGUUUAUUAUUAAUAUACAAGCAUAAUGUAAGAAUAAAACUACUGGGGUUUUUU
rnacentral:lncRNA from 1 species